rnacentral:rRNA from 1 species
UGGGGGAAUAUUGCACAAUGGGCGAAAGCCUGAUGCAGCAACGCCGCGUGAGUGAUGAAGGCCUUUGGGUUGUAAAGCUCUGUCUUUUGGGACGAUAAUGACGGUACCAAAGGAGGAAGCCACGGCUAACUACGUGCCAGCAGCCGCGGUAAUACGUAGGUGGCAAGCGUUGUCCGGAUUUACUGGGCGUAAAGGAUGCGUAGGCGGAUUUUUAAGUGAGAUGUGAAAUACCCGGGCUUAACUUGGGUGCUGCAUUUCAAACUGGGAAUCUAGAGUGCGGGAGAGGAGAAUGGAAUUCCUAGUGUAGCGGUGAAAUGCGUAGAGAUUAGGAAGAACACCAGUGGCGAAGGCGAUUCUCUGGACCGUAACUGACGCUGAGGCAUGAAAGCGUGGGUAGCAAACAGGAUUAGAUACCCUGGUAGUCCACGCCGUAAACGAUGAGUACUAGGUGUAGGAGGUAUCGACCCCUUCUGUGCCGCAGUUAACACAAUAAGUACUCCGCCUGGGAAGUACGAUCGCAAGAUUAAAAGCUCAAAUGAAUUGACGGGGUCAUAGCUGUUUCC